rnacentral:rRNA from 1 species
UACGGAGGGUGCAAGCGUUGUUCGGAAUCAUUGGGCGUAAAGGGCGCGUAGGCGGGUGUGAAAGUCGAUUGUGAAAGCCCCGGGCUUAACCUGGGAACUGCAGUCGAUACUGCACAUCUUGAGUGCUUGAGAGGGUGAUGGAAUUCCUGGUGUAGAAGUGAAAUUCGUAGAUAUCAGGAGGAACACCUGAGGCGAAGGCGGUCACCUGGCAAGACACUGACGCUGAGGCGCGAAAGCGCGGGGAGCAAACAGG